CCUACGGGUGGCAGCAGUGGGGAAUAUUGGUCAAUGGGCGCGAGCCUGACCCAGCAACGCCGCGUGAAGGAGGAAGGCUUUCGGGUUGUAAACUUCUUUUGUCAGGGAAGAAUAGAAUACGGUACCUGACGGAUAAGCCACGGCUAACUACGUGCCAGCAGCCGCGGUAAUACGUAGGUGGCCAGCUUUGUCCGGGUUUACUGGGUGUAAAGGGCGUGUAGCCGGGUUGACAAGUCAGAUGUGAAAUCCUGCGGCUUAACCGCAGAACCGCAGUUGAAACUGUCGCUCUCGAGUACUGGAGAGGCAGACGGAAUGCGCAGUGUAGCGGUGAAAUGCGUAGAUAUUAGGCGGAACACCAGUGGCGAAGGCGGUCUGCUGGACAGACACUGACGGUGAGGCGCGAAAGCGUGGGGAGCGAACAGGAUUAGAUACCCCAGUAGUC
rnacentral:rRNA from 1 species